GAUGAACGCUAGCGGCAGGCCUAAUGCAUGCAAGUCGGACGGGAUUGAGAAGCUUGCUUUUCAUGAGAGUGGCGCACGGGUGCGUAACACGUAUGUAACCUACCUUAAUCAGGGGGAUAGCCUCUCGAAAGAGAGAUUAACACCGCAUAAAAUCAAUUUAUGGCAUCAUAGAAUGAUCAAAUAUUUAUAGGAUUAAGAUGGGCAUGCGGAACAUUAGCUAGUUGGUAAAGUAACGGCUUACCAAGGCUACGAUGUUUAGGGGAUCUGAGAGGAUGACCCCCCACACUGGUACUGAGACACGGACCAGACUCCUACGGGAGGCAGCAGUAAGGAAUAUUGGUCAAUGGGCGCAAGCCUGAACCAGCCAUGCCGCGUGCAGGAAGACGGCCCUACGGGUUGUAAACUGCUUUUGUACCGGAAUAAACCUUUGUAUGUAUACGAAGCUGAAUGUACGGUAAGAAUAAGGAUCGGCUAACUCCGUGCCAGCAGCCGCAGUAA
rnacentral:rRNA from 1 species